UACGGGGGGAGCAAGCGUUGUUCGGAUUUACUGGGCGUAAAGGGCGCGUAGGCGGCCACCGCAAGUCGGUUGUGAAAUCUCUGGGCUUAACCCAGAAAGGUCAACCGAUACUGCGGGGCUAGAGUGCAGAAGGGGCAACUGGAAUUCUCGGUGUAGCGGUGAAAUGCGUAGAUAUCGAGAGGAACACCUGCGGCGAAGGCGGCUUCCUGGACCGACACUGACGCUGAGGCGCGAAAGCUAGGGGAGCAAACGGG
rnacentral:rRNA from 1 species